CAAGACCUGCACUUUUGGAGCGGCCGAUGUCUGAUUAGCUAGUUGGUGGGGUAAUGGCCUACCAAAGCUUCGAUCAGUAGCUGGUCUGAGAGGACGGCCAGCCACACUGGGACUGAGACACGGCCCAGACUCCUACGGGAGGCAGCAGUGGGGAAUUUUGGACAAUGGGCGCAAGCCUGAUCCAGCCAUGCCGCGUGAGUGAAGAAGGCCUUCGGGUUGUAAAGCUCUUUCAGCCGGGAAGAAAAGGUUGCGACUAAUAAUCGCAAUUCAUGACGGUACCGAAAGAAGAAGCACCGGCUAACUACGUGCCAGCAGCCGCGGUAAUACGUAGGGUGCGAGCGUUAAUCGGAAUUACUGGGCGUAAAGGGUGCGCAGGCGGUUUUGUAAGUCAGAUGUGAAAUCCCCGGGCUUGACCUGGGAACU
rnacentral:rRNA from 1 species